rnacentral:rRNA from 1 species
AUUGAACGCUGGCGGCAGGCUUAACACAUGCAAGUCGAGCGAGCGGCGGACGGGUGAGUAAUGUCUGGGAAACUGCCUGAUGGAGGGGGAUAACUCCUGGAAACGGUAGCUAAUACCGCAUACCAUCAGAGGUGCCCAGAUGGGAUUAGCUAGUAGGUUGGGUAAUGGCUCACCUAGGCGACGAUCCCUAGCGGGUCUGAGAGGAUGACCAGUCACACUGGAACUGAGACACGUGCCAUAACCCUACGGGAGGCAGCAGUGGGGAAUAUCGCACAAUGGGCGCAAGCCUGAUGCAGCCAUGCGGCGUGUGUGAAGAAGGCCUUCGGGUUGUAAAGCACUUUCAGCGAGGAGGCGUUACGCGCAGAAGAAGCACCGGCUAACUCCGUGCCAGCAGCCGCGGUAAUUC